rnacentral:rRNA from 1 species
UGGGGAAUUUUGGACAAUGGGCGAAAGCCUGAUCCAGCAAUGCCGCGUGUGUGAAGAAGGCCUUCGGGUUGUAAAGCACUUUUGUCCGGAAAGAAAUCCUUGGCUCUAAUACAGUCGGGGGAUGACGGUACCGGAAGAAUAAGCACCGGCUAACUACGCGCCAGCAGCCGCGGUAAUACGUAGGGUGCAAGCGUUAAUCGGAAUUACUGGGCGUAAAGCGUGCGCAGGCGGUUUGCUAAGACCGAUGUGAAAUCCCCGGGCUCAACCUGGGAACUGCAUUGGUGACUGGCAGGCUAGAGUAUGGCAGAGGGGGGUAGAAUUCCACGUGUAGCAGUGAAAUGCGUAGAGAUGUGGAGGAAUACCGAUGGCGAAGGCAGCCCCCUGGGCCAAUACUGACGCUCAUGCACGAAAGCGUGGGGAGCAAACAGGAUUAGAUACCCUGGUAGUCCACGCCCUAAAACGAUGUCAACUAGUUGUUGGGGAUUCAUUUCCUUAGUAACGUAGCUAACGCGUGAAGUUGACCGCCUGGGGAGUACGGUCGCAAGAUUAAAACUUAAAUGAAUUGACGGGGUCAUAGCUGUUUCCU